AGGUGUGCCCAGGUGUGAUCCCAGGUGCUCUAAGGUGUGAUCCCAGGUGUGAUCCCAGGUGCUCUAAGGUGUGAUCCCAGGUGCUCUCAGGUGUGCCCAGGUGCUCUCAGGUGUGAUCCCAGGUGCACUCAGGUGUGAUCCCAGGUGCUCUCAGGUGUGCCCAGGUGCACUCCCAGGUGCUCUCAGGUGUGAUCCCAGGUGUGCCCAGGUGUGAUCCCAGGUGCACUCAGGUGUGAUCUCAGGUGUGAUCCCAGGUGCUCUCAGGUGUGCCCAGGUGUGCCCAGGUGCACUCCCAGGUGCUCUCAGGUGUGCCCAGGUGCUCUCAGGUGUGAUCCCAGGUGCUCUCAGGUGUGAUCCCAGGUGCUCUCAGGUGUGCCCAGGUGCACUC